rnacentral:rRNA from 1 species
UACGGAGGGUGCAAGCGUUAUCCGGAUUUACUGGGUUUAAAGGGUGCGCAGGCGGAUAUGUAGGUCAGUGGUGAAAUCUCUAGGCUUAACCUGGAAAUUGCCGUUGAUACUAUAUAUCUUGAAUGCUGUGGAGGUAAGCGGAAUAUGUCAUGUAGCGGUGAAAUGCUUAGAUAUGACAUAGAACACCAAUUGCGAAGGCAGCUGGCUACACGAACAUUGACACUCAGGCACGAAAGCGUGGGGAUCAAACAGG